GCUGGUAUAGUUCAGUGGCAGAACACACCCCUCAUAAGGGUGAAGUCGUUGGUUCAAAUCCAACUACCAGUA
rnacentral:tRNA from 1 species